GACAGAGGAGCCAAGCGUUGUCCGGAUUGACUGGGCGUAAAGCGCACGCAGGCGGCGACGCGCGUGGGGUGUGAAAUCUGGCCGCUUAACGGCCAGGCGCCAUCCCAUACGGCGUCGCUGGAGCCUUGCAGAGGGCGGUGGAAUUGCCGGUGUAGUGGUGAAAUGCGUAGAGAUCGGCAGGAACACCCAGGGGGAAACCAGCCGCCUGGGCAAGCGCUGACGCUGAGGUGCGAGAGCGUGGGGAGCGAACCGG
rnacentral:rRNA from 1 species